CUAACAGUAGCACGGCGUUGCAGAAUGUUGUAUAGUUCUACAGGUUUGCAGUAAAUUGAAAGGCUCUCCUCUGCUGCAAUUUCCUCUUCCGCAGACAAAUGCACACAAGAAUCUUGGCGGCACAUUUGAUCUGCACCUCUAGAAUAACUGCAAUAGAAAAACAAUUAUGCUUACUGAAGUGGACUGAAAUGAAGAUUAUUACUUCUUCAUCAUGCGCCAACUAAAGUGCCAUAACACCAUUGCAUUUAAACAAAGAUUUGUCGCAACAAUCAAAGAAUGAGUAUGUAAUAUUACCCCUUUUGUUUGGCUAGGUAUGAAUUUUAAAAAAUAUUCGACCAAAGAAUGAGCAUAUAAUUUUACCCCUCCUCCACAAGUGUCAUUUGAAUUCCGAAGGUGAGGGAUUCCCAAAAGAUGUUCUUUAGGCUCUCCCAUAUACUUUUCCUUAUUCAAACUAUUUGCCUCACCUAGAAAACAGUAUAUAGAUUAUAGAAUAGUAAAAGAUAUAUCCUUUUACAUUUUUAAUAUGUAUUAACCUCAGCUUGCAACUUUUUUUCUGGAAAGGUAAUUGUGGCCCCAAGUUUGAGGGGACUGCAACCACUCAACUUGCAUUUUGUCCAAACAUUGAAAUUUAAAAUCUAGAGCUUUUAGAGUCAGUAGUCUUUAAAACCCCUUCAAUCAAAAUUCCUCUUAUAUUUUAAAAUUCCCACCCAGACACACCUUGUGUGUUAUCAAUCUAUACAUAUGAAGGAAAAAGCUUUUACAUAUUUGAGCCCUUCUUCAUAUAUUCAAGAAGGUUAUUUAAUUUUGUAGGCAGUACAGGAAAGUAUAAAAUUAUAAAACAAUAAAAAAAAUUAUCUGAAAUGAAAGAGGACAUACAUGGUUUCAUGAACCACUAAAGGUAUGCCUGGCAUUCUUGUUAGGCAAGGUUAAUAUUUAAAUUCAUCUCUAGCAAAACCUUUCCAAAACAAGUAAAAUAUAGGCCCUCCAAACCUGCAAAACAUCACAAUUUAACUAUCCAUUACCUUUUUAUUUUCUCUUUCUUUUGUGGAGGACGGUGAGGCAAAAGAAAUGAAAACACUAGAGUGUUACCAUCCUGAGUGUAGAUAAAAGAAAAUUUCUCACGAAAAGACGAAGAAGAAUAGAUAGCAAAAAUGAAAGAAAAUUCCCGUCAAUAACAAGAACUUGAAACUUAAAGAAACAAAUUUUAUGUCACCUAUAAAGCUAAUAAUCUAUCAACGAUGACUGCGGCAGCAAUGAUGGUUGACAAUGGCAGCAAUAUCUUGUGCUCCAGCGAAGAAUCUCUCUUUUUUGUUUUUUUUUUCAAAAAAUGGACAGAUGGAACGGCUUUGGUUGAGAACGAUUGGGGUUGCAGCUGGGAGGCAAUUUGCUGAACAAUGGGUUUGUUGGUUACAGGUUGUUGGAAUCUACUAGAGUGGUAGUCCCUCGUGAUGAUGAUGACGGCUAGAGUUAAGGGUGGUUUAGAGCUUUGGCAGUACAAUGAUUUUUUAUUAUUUGGGAUGUGUCAUUGGUCUUAUGCAAUUGGGGUUUUUCUCCCCUCUUUCCAUUGAUAGAGCAGCAACACUGACAAUUGCGGAAGACGAUGAACAGUACUCUUUUGUAAUUCUUUUCCCUGGAUCAAUUGGCAAGCUAUGAUGGUGGUGACCAGAUUGAAACUUACUAGAUGCAGUGAUGUACGGGAUGCUGAAAGGUUACAACCGGUACUAGGGUUUCAGCAAGUUCUGGUGAUUGAACAGUUACUCUUUUGUUGUUGACUCGAGCGAACUUUGACAACUAGGUGAUACUAAUGUCAACUCCCUAACAAACUUUAGCAAAUGAUGGUGGCCAAAGAAAAAUAGAAAAUGGGUAGAAAGAUGAUAUGGUUAAAUAAAGAUAUCAGGUUUAGCUCUGAUAACAUCUGAUGCAGAACAAGGUGAAGAAAGGAAUAAUGUAGGAACAAAUAUUAAAUUAUAGGAGAAGAAUAAAUGCCUAAAGUCCACAGUGACAUUUAACAAUGUCAAAUCAAUUCAUAUUCAAUUCAUUGAGUUAUAUUGAUGGGUUAAAUCAACAUAUAUAGGACAUUAGAAUCCUAACUUUAUAUUAACCAGGAAACCUAAUUUUAAAAGGAAACAAACUCCUCAUAAUUAUCUAUUAGAAUUUAAUGAUAUCCUAAUGUUCUCUUAAGCUAAACUGAUAAGUAUUGGAAGAAAGCUUGGGGAGUAGUUCUAGUCAUGUGACUCUAGUAUCUUCUAAAAUAUUACUCCCUCCGUCCCAUAGUUAUAGGCUGAUUUUCCAUUUUGAGAUGUCCCAAUAUAUAGGCUACUUACUAUUUAUAAAAUUUAGUUAGUUCAUUAUUUUACUUUUAUGCCCUUAUAAUAAAAUAUUCAAUCAUUACUCUUUUUUUGAAAAAACAACAUUCAAUGUCAUUAUUUUUAUCACCACAUUUAAUGUUGUUGUAUUCUCUUUGGUUAAAGUUCUAUGGUUGUGGACUUUAACACGUCAAUCAAUGAAGUUGAGAGUUCCAGUGUGAUAAGUAAGGAGUAAUUAACUUAUUCAUUAAUUCCAUAUUAAGGGGUAUAUGUGGAAAAUUUAUGUUAAAAUUACCACUUAAACUAUGUGCCAAAAGAAAUCAGCCUAUAACUAUGGGACGGAGGGAGUAUUAUUAACUACUUCACCUUAACUUCCAUUUAUUUACUAGUUAGGCCUAUAUCCUUAACAAAUAGCAUUGACAAUUGUUGAGAAGAAGAUGAAACAUAAAGUUAUAUGGUUUGAUAAGGGACACCAAAAGUUAAUGAACGUUGGCUACCUUAGCCGAAGCAAGUCCUUAAUAAUCUUAAUGGUUGCAUAUUGCACAGCAUUGCCAUCACAUAUAACAGUUUGAGUAUAACACUUUUUCUGGGAGUUCUUAUUGGGAAAAAGGGAGACGAAUUUCUCUCUUCAUGUCUGGGAAAAAGGUACAACCUUGAGAAUGCAUAUUCUUUAAAGCAUGCAAAGGUAUCGAUUUGUGAAGGGGGGAAAUGACAAUAGGAACAAAGACAGAAUUACAACAAAUACCACAAGAAAAUUGGAGAAAACCUGAAAAGAAAAACAAUCCAAAAUAAAAUAGACAGAUUCACAAUAGGAAAUAACAUCUAAAAGGCAAUUUCAUUACCAGGAUUAUGGCUGUUAAACGAACCUAGCUAUUCGACUCAACACCCAAAUCGAGUUUUGUUAGAUCAUUUUUUAUUGCUCGUUAAGUUAUCGAGUAGAGUCAAAAUAAGUUUCCUGCACUAGUCAACUCAACUCGAUACUUGCCUAAAUUUAAUAAAUUUAAAUUAUUUAUAUGGAUAUUUAUAAUUGUUUUUUUUUUGGCUUUGUAUUUUAUUUAUGUAUUAAUUUAUUUAAAUAAGUAAUUUGAUAUAUAUAAAGAUAUUCAAAAUAUUUAAAAGUAGUAUUUUUAAAAACCAUUCAUAAUCAUAUUAUGAGCUACUCGAGAACUACUAGACUCAAUAAGUGUACAAUUCAAAUUAAAACAUUAAAAAAAUUUGUGUUCGCUAAAUACUCAACUCGAACUUGAUAACUUUUUAUCGAGUUUUCUCUAAAUACUCAACUCUAACUCAAUUUUAUAAUGAGCGGAGCUCCAACUGUAUAUAGUCUACUAGAUUACAGCCCAAAUCAGGAUUGAUCUUCCCACGUAUAAAUCAUAAAAUUUACGAGUAGACUUCACAGGAGGCUUGGAAUAAAAAAGCUUAAAAAAAUCAGAAUUUGUUAAGAAGUCAGAAAACUUGAAGGAAGAUAAAAGAAAGACAAUGGAGAAUGAUUCUAACUAUUUCUAUAUUUUUAGAAUGUUUUUCUCUCUAAACAAACGGGUCAAUAAAAAGCAUAUUUUGUUUUGGUGAGUUUGCCACUCAAUGGAACAAUGCACAAGAUAAGAUCACUAGAUGAAACAGUAAUUGGAGUUGAAAUAAACAGUAUACUCGUACCAAAUCAAGUCCAAAAUUAAUAGGAAAAAAAACAAAUAAACUUAUAACUUAUAGAACUACGUCGAAAUAAAGAUAAAAGAUUACCAGAUGAUUAAAGCCCUAAUAUUGAUCCACAGACCGUAAGGUAUCCAUGCAAAUUAGAUUUCGGAAUUUUGCCAAAAAUUAAAUUUGGGUGGGGAAGAGAGAGAGGGAUGAGAGAAAACAUUCGGAGCUUCUCGCUCAGCUUUCGAAGAGACGGUAGGAGCGAUGUCGUUAAAUUUGCAGCUUCCCAGUUACAAGUAUAAUUAAGAUCAUAAUGACACGGGAAGACGUGAGGGUCUCUCAAUUUGACAAAUCUCAAAAUUUGGUUAUUUUUGUCUACACGUUUAUUUGAUUUUUCUUUAGAUAUACUUAUUUGAAAUUUGG
rnacentral:lncRNA from 1 species